GAUGAAUGCUGGCGGCGUGCCUAACACAUGCAAGUCGAGCGGCAGCGAGGGGUGCUUGCACCCUGUCGGCGAGCGGCGAACGGCUGAGUAACGCGUAGGAAUUUGCCCCAAAGUGAGGAAUAAGUGCCCGAAAGGGUAGCUAAUGCCGCAUAUGGCCUUCGGUUUAAAGGAUUUAUCCGCUUUGGGAGAAGCCUGCGUUGGAUUAGGUUGUUGGUAGGGUAAUGGCCUACCAAGCCGACGAUCCAUAGCUGGCCUGAGAGGAUGAUCAGUCAGACUGGAACUGAGACACGGUCCAGACUCCUACGGGAGGCAGAAGUGAGGAAUCUUCCACAAUGGGCGAAAGCCUGAUGUGGCAACGCCGCGUGAAGGAUGAAGGCCUUCGGGUUGUAUACUUCUUUUAUGAGUGAAGAAUAUGACGGUAACUCAUGAAUAAGCACCGGCUAACUACGUG
rnacentral:rRNA from 1 species